rfam:Asian citrus Psyllid, Diaphorina citri - Florida Strain, whole genome shotgun sequence.
GCCUAGAUAGCUCGGUUGGUAGCGCAUCUGUCUUGUAAGCGCUAGGCCGCGGGUUCAAUUCCCGCCCGGGGCG